AAUAAUCGAUUUUUAAUUAAAUUAAUUUCUUCUUUUUUAAUAGAUAUUCGUAUUAUUUUUGUAAUAUGAGUUUUCAUUGUAAAUAGUAGCGUUUUUUACUGGAAUUAAUCUUUGAUGGAUUACGUGGACCUUUUUUUAAAUACUUAAAUAACAAAUAGAAUGGUAUUAAAAUAUAUCUACACUUAUCAACAAAAAAAAAAAUAAAUAAAUGUACCAUUACAGUUUAUAAAAUUGCGUAAUCUAAAUAAAUUAUACUAAAUAGUUAUGUUUUCGUAGUUUUUAUUCGACACCGAAACAAAAAAAUAAAUGCACAAACGCAGCAAAUAGAAGCACAAUUAGCGAGCUUACCCUGCGAGUCCUUUGAAGGAAUAUUAUUCCCCAGAAGUGAACAUCAUCUCACCAACUCAAGACAAAAUGACCAUCUUACAAACUGUACAAGUUUCGACGAAGAAAUUCGAUAAAAAUCAAGUUAGAUCUACACCUCGAUUAACGAGAACGCAAUCUUUAAGAAAUAAAAAAUCAUCGACUCCCAGAAAUAAUGAAUCAUCUUCCAAAAUACCGUGGAGGUUUUAAUUUCAACAAAACAAUAACAAAAAUAAAUUAGUAGAAAUUGUCUUAAAACGUAGGAUGGGUUAAAGAAUGUAUUAGAAAUCACAAAAUUAUCUAAAGUUAAUUGUUUGUAGAUUAAUCAUAAAAGGCACGUAAAUAAACAUAAUUUCGAAUUUU